CAGGUUGGUGACAGACAGAAACCCAGAAGUCACACUCCGAGCAAGCUGAGCAACAGGCAGGCUGG